CCUACGGGAGGCAGCAGUGAGGAAUAUUGGACAAUGGGCGCAAGCCUGAUCCAGCCAUGCCGCGUGCAGGAUGACGGUCCUAUGGAUUGUAAACUGCUUUUAUACGAGAAGAAACACCCCUACGUGUAGGGACUUGACGGUAUCGUAAGAAUAAGGAUCGGCUAACUCCGUGCCAGCAGCCGCGGUAAUACGGAGGAUCCAAGCGUUAUCCGGAAUCAUUGGGUUUAAAGGGUCCGUAGGCGGUUUAGUAAGUCAGUGGUGAAAUCUCCCCGCUCAACGGGGAAACGGCCAUUGAUACUGCUAGACUUGAAUUAUUAGGAAGUAACUAGAAUAUGUAGUGUAGCGGUGAAAUGCUUAGAGAUUACAUGGAAUACCAAUUGCGAAGGCAGGUUACUACUAAUGGAUUGACGCUGAUGGACGAAAGCGUGGGUAGCGAACAGGAUUAGAUACCCUGGUAGUCCACGCCGUAAACGAUGGAUACUAGCUGUUGGGUGNAACUACAGUGNGUAGACGAAGUAGAUAAGUAAUACCACCGUACGGGAGGUACGGUUCGUCGAAGAAAGUAAGUAAACGUUAAAAUUAAGUAAAGUUAGUUAGGCGUUGAGACGUGCGACGGACGACGACGAGGGAGGAGGAG
rnacentral:rRNA from 1 species